GUCUACGGCCAUGCCACCCUGAACAAGCCUGAUCCUGUCUGAUCUCGGAAGCUAAGCAGGGUCCGGCCUGCUUAGUACUUGUAUUGGAGAUCACCUAGGAAGACCAGGUGCUGUAGGUG
rnacentral:rRNA from 1 species